rnacentral:tRNA from 1 species
GAGCGUUAGGGGCUUGUAGCUCAGUUGGUUAGAGCGCGCGCUUGAUAAGCGUGAGGUCGGAAGUUCAAGUCUUCCCAGGCCCACCCGGGUAUGGGGCCUUAGCUCAGCUGGGAGAGCGCGUGCUUUGCAAGCAUGAGGUCGUCGGUUCGAUCCCGACAGGCUCCACCACCGUCCGCGAGACAACAUUUCGCAUCUUCUGGUCCUCACCGGGAUUACAGAAGAGUGCGUGUUAUCUGACAUCGUGAAGAGGAGAUCGAUCCGAGUAGGGUCGUGCAAUGAAGGGCCACCGCGCAAGCGGUCCGCUCGUCGACUUUGCACCGACGCCUUCACUAUCUCCGGGUCAUUUCGGCGCAAACAUCGAGCUGUGAAGCUUGUCGUUUGUUGUAAAUGACUCUGUUAGCUGCGCUUGACCGCACGGCUAUCGGUUCGAUCUUAAGAAGCAAGCUGGUCUUUCUAAUCAGUGUCCGCGCUGCUCUACGCCUUGUCCUUCGGGGCAGGUGAGGGCGGUGAACAUUCUGCCGAGUGUGUGGACAUUGAUAAUGAGAGC